UACAGAGGUCUCAAGCGUUGUUCGGAUUCAUUGGGCGUAAAGGGCGCGUAGGCUGCGGGGUAAGUCGGGUGUGAAAUCUCAGAGCUCAACUCUGAAACUGCACUCGAUACUGCUUUGCUUGAGGACUGGAGAGGAGAUUGGAAUUCACGGUGUAGCAGUGAAAUGCGUAGAUAUCGUGAGGAAGACCAGUGGCGAAGGCGGAUCUCUGGACAGUUCCUGACGCUGAGGCGCGAAGGCCAGGGGAGCAAACGGG
rnacentral:rRNA from 1 species